GAUGAAGAACGCAGCGAAAUGCGAUAAGUAGUGUGAAUUGCAGAAUUCAGUGAAUCAUCGAAUCUUUGAACGCACAUUGCGCCUCCUGGCAUUCCGGGAGGCAUGCCUGUUCGAGCGUCAUUACAACCCUCAAGCUCAGCUUGGUGUUGGGCCCCGCCGCCCCGGCGGGCCCUAAAGUCAGUGGCGGUGCCGUCCGGCUCCGAGCGUAGUAAUUCUUCUCGCUCUGGAGGUCCGGUCGUGUGCUCGCCAGCAACCCCCAAUUUUUUUCAGGUUGACCUCGGAUCAGGUAGGGAUACCCGCUGAACUUAAGCAUAUCAAUAAGCGGAGGA
rnacentral:misc_RNA from 1 species